UGGCUGAGCGGUAAAGCGCUUGGCUUCCGAACCUGUGGUCCCGGGUUCGAAUCCUGG
rnacentral:tRNA from 1 species